rnacentral:rRNA from 1 species
UACGGAGGGGGCGAGCGUUAUUCGGAAUUAUUGGGCGUAAAGGGCGCGUAGGCGGCUGUACAAGUCAAAGGUGAAAUCCCCUCGCUCAACUGAGGAACUGCCUUUGAAACUGUACGGCUUGAGGCCGGGAGGGGGGUAGCGGAAUUCCCAGUGUAGCGGUGAAAUGCGUAGAUACUGGGAGGAACACCAGUGGCGAAGGCGGCUACCUGGACCGGUUCUGACGCUGAGGCGCGAAAAGCGUGGGUAGCAAACAGGG